CUAUGGAUAUGUAAAUAUUUAAUUAAAACAUCUUUGUAUAAAAUAAAUGGUGGUAUAAGGAAAUGGAAAAAAACCCUUACCUGCAGAGAAAAUUUGUGAAAUAUAUUUUUCACACAGAAGGGUAAAUAGAAUAUCCAUGUUCCAUUCAAAUAAAAGUGAAACAAAUGCCCAUCUAUCUUCCAAACAGCUGAAGAAAUAGAAUAUCCCCCACUAUAGAUAGAAGCUGUGUUGUGCCCAGUUAACUGCUAUCCUGAAUGGCCAGCUUGCUAGAGGAUAGAUCAGAUAGAUAGAUAGAUAGACAGACAGACAGACAGACAGACAGACAGACAGAUAGAUAGAUAGAUAUACAUACAUACAUACAUACACACAUACAUAUAUAGAUGAUGGAUUGGUAGAUGGUUGAUACAUGUUAGAUAGAUACAUACAUACAUAGAUGGAUUGGCAGAUGGUUGAUACAUGUUAGAUACAUACAUACAUACAUACAUACAUACAUAGAAGAUGGAUUGGUAGAUGGUUGAUAUAUAUUAGAUGAUAGAUAGAUAGAUAGAUAGAUAGAUGAUGGAAGAUAUAUAGAUGGGAGAUAGGUGGAUAGAUAGAUGAUAGGUGAUGGGUAAAUAGAUAAGUAGAUGAUGCAUAAAUGAUCUAUGAUAAGUAGAUAAUAUAGAUGUCAAUACAUAAUCACAUACACACGUAGUGUAGGUUUUAGUGUUUUUUUCUUUCGUAUUUAACUGGAAUUUUAUACCAUAUUUUUUUCUGUGACUUGCUGUUUUACUCAAUGACAGCUGCGAUUCACCUAUGUUGAUGUGUGCCCUCAUGUUUCCUUCACCUCCACUGCUGUGUAGGACUCCCUGUGUGACUGCCCUGUAGCUUAUUUAGGCAUGGUAUGCACUGAGAUGUGGUCAGAGUUUGGGGCCACUGGGUUUCCUGCAAGCUCUGCUCCUGUGCACACGUGGACUCCCAAUUGUUACAGUGUGACUGUGGGUUACUGCUCAGGUCUGGCACACAGCACUAGUUUCUCCGGGUGUGUGUCUAGGAGUAGAGUCACUACGCAUAGAAUAUAGGCAUGUUCAAGUUUGGUAAGUCAUUCCAGACCUUUUCCAAGGGAUUCCACUGAUGUACGCCCUUCCACACAGCGGAUGAGAGCUGGUGUUCCUGCAUACCCUCACUAAUGCUUGGAUUUAAGAUGGGCCAAUUUGGUGGAGGUGAAGUGCAAUGUCACCAUGGUCUCCAUCUGCCCUGCCCCAGUGCCACUGAGGUGAAGCAUAUGAUUAUGGGCUAUUCAUCUUCCCUCCUCUGCUAAGUGACGGCUCAAGGCUCACACUUGUUUUUUUCUAUUGGGCUGUUUGCCGUUUUAUUAUAAUUUGUAGUUCUUUAUAUCUUCUCUGCAUACAUUCUUUAUUAGUUUUAUGUAAUACAAACAUAUCUCUUUCAGUUUUUGUCUUUUUUCCACCCUUUGUUGUGUUUUUUGAUCAAG
rnacentral:lncRNA from 10 species